ensembl:lncRNA LINC02208 long intergenic non-protein coding RNA 2208
ACAUAUGCCUUGAGUUGCUCUUCAGUGAAUAUCACUUUUCCUUUCAUGUUUUUUCUACAUGCUAUUAUCUGUAUGAAAUGAAGACCAAGAAAGGAUGGGAAGAAGGAGAAGAAAAAUUUUGAUUUAUCUCAGAAACUAUACUCCGAAGUGAGAGUCCUGGUUGCAGCAUCCUUCACCGAAGCACGAAGCAGAAUCAAGCUGUUGCCAUGAAGCUUGUUUCAAGAGCUCAGAAAUACUCCAGGGACUCCUUUACUACUGCUUUUCAAAGAGGCCUUUUUUUCUCUCUUCUCCUUUUCCUGCAAAGAGGGUUAUAUCCAGUGCUCAAGGACAUGGGAUUAUCAGCCUAAGGCAUGAGUACAUGCUGUGGAAACAGAAAUAUGUAUGAAGGGAUGUAUGAAACCACAGAAUAAAUGGAAUCCACAUUCUUGAAGUAGCUACAACUCUACUUGAGGUCCCAAGGCACGUAGAUAGUACCUAUACAUCUCAUCAGGAACAUGGAUGGUUCUCUGCUAUCAGCUGAAGUGCUGUGACCACAAAACUGAAAAUUCCCAUUCUGUGUCCUUGCCAAUAAAGAAUGUCCAUCAGAGCACGCCCAGUAUCCUAGCUCCUUAUCCAGACUGUGCUUCUCAAUGUGACAAGGAAGACUGCAACCCUAUUUGCUUCUGAUAACCUUCCUAUGACUAAGUCUUCUCUGGUUGAGAUUCCUGGGGAGGACACUCAUGACAAUUGUGGUUUUUGGAGGAUCUAUCUUUAGGCAGCUAAAAGGAAGUUCAGAGAAAGCCCCUUCCUAUACUUCGCAGGAGAAAAAAGAGGCUCUGUAGCAUGACCUAACCCUAAACUUCCUGGGAACUCAGAGUGAAGCAUUCUGUGAUGCAGAAGAAGCAAAUUUGACUCUGAAUCCCUGAUGUGUACCCUCAGGAUCCAGGAGCAGAAAACGUCUUUCUUCCCUUGCCUGUUUAUUUUUAAAUUCCUUUUAUAAAAUCAAAAUUUGCAACAAC